GAUGAACGCUGGCGGCGUGCCUAAUACAUGCAAGUCGAGCGAACAGACGAGGAGCUUGCUCCUCUGACGUUAGCGGCGGACGGGUGAGUAACACGUGGAUAACCUACCUAUAAGACUGGGAUAACUUCGGGAAACCGGAGCUAAUACCGGAUAAUAUAUUGAACCGCAUGGUUCAAUAGUGAAAGACGGUUUUGCUGUCACUUAUAGAUGGAUCCGCGCCGCAUUAGCUAGUUGGUAAGGUAACGGCUUACCAAGGCAACGAUGCGUAGCCGACCUGAGAGGGGAAUCGGCCACACUGGAACUGAGACACGGUCCAGCCUCCUACGGGAGGCAGCAGUAGGGACUCUUCCGCAAUGGGCGAAAGCUUGACGGAGCAACGCCGCGUGAGUGAUGAAGGUCUUCGGAUCGUAAAACUCUGUUAUUAGGGAAGAACAAAUGUGUAAGUAACUAUGCACGUCUUGACGGUACCUAAUCAGAAAGCCACGGCUAACUACGU
rnacentral:rRNA from 1 species